CGAUCUUUAAGCUCGGAACUGAACGCUGGCGGGAUGCUUUACACAUGCAAGUCGAACGGCAGCACGGACUUCGGUCUGGUGGCGAGUGGCGAACGGGUAAAUGUAUAUCAGGAGACGUGCCUAAUGUAGCGGGGGAUAACUACGCAGAGGGAGAGAGAGGCGUAGCUAAUACCACAUACGCCCUUCAGGAAAGCAGAAGGACCUUUGAGGCCUCGCACUAUUGACGACGAUAUCAGUUAGCUAGUUGGUAGGGUAACGGCUCACCAAGGCGACGAUCCGUAGCUGGUUGAAGGACUGACCAGCCACACUGGGACUGAGACACGCGGCCCAGACUCCUACAAAGGGAGGGCAGCAGUGGGGGUACGGACAAUGGGGAAACCCUGAUCCAGCCAUCCCGCGUGUGCGAUGAAGGCCUUCGGGUUGUAAGCGCACAGCGGAAAGAAACGGCACGGGAUAAUACCCCGUGCAACUGACGGUACCUGCAGAAUAAACACCGGCCUUCGUGCCAGCAGCCGCGGUAAUGGCGAGGUGCAAGCGUUAAUCAGAUUACUGGGCGUAAAGCGUGCGCAGGCGGUUCGGAAAGAAAGAUGUGAAAUCCGAGCAACUUUGGAACUGCACAUUUUUAACACCGAGCUAGAGUGUGUCGGGAGGUGGAAUUCCGCGUGUAGCAGUGAAAUGCGUAGACAUACGCGGAGGAACACCGAUGGCGAAGGCAGCCUCCUGGGAUAACACUGACGCUCAUGCACACACGAAAAACGAUGGGAACAAACAGGAUUAGAUACCCUGGUGGUCGCCUAAACGAUGUCAACUAGCUGUUUGGGCCAGCGGGCCUUGGUAGCGCAGCUAACGCCGAAGUUGACCGCCUGGGGAGAAUGGGGUCGCAAGAUUAAAACUCCAAAGGAAUUGACGGGGACCCGCACGGCGGUGGAUGAUGUGGAUUAAUUCGGUACCGCGCGAAAACCUUACCUACCCUUGACAUGUCUGGAAUCCCGAAGAGAUUUGGGUGCUCGCAAGAGAACCGGAACACCGGACUUAACGCAUGGCUGUCGUGGCUCGUGUCGUGAGAUGUUGGGUUAAGUCCCGCAACGAGCGCAACCCUUGUCGUGGUUGCUACGAAGAGCACUCUAUUGAGACUGCCGGUGACAAACCGGAGGAAGGUGGGGAUGACGUCAAGUCCUCAUGGCCCUUAUGGGUAGGGCUUACACGUCAUCACAACAGGUCAGGACAGAGGUCGCCAACCCGCGAGAAGACUAAUCGAGAAACCUGAUCGUAGUCGGAUCGCAGUCUGCAACUCAUUGCGUGAAGUCGGAAUCGCUAGUAAUCAUAGAUCGGCAUGUCGCCAGAUGAAUGCGUUCCCGGGUCUUAGCACACCGCCCGUCACACCAUGGGGAUGGAGUUUCCAGAAAGGAAAUGAUUAGCCUAACCGUAAGGAGGGCGUGCCACGGUAAGUUCGCGAGCUGGGGGUGAAGUCAUAACAAGGUAA
rnacentral:rRNA from 1 species